CCCCGGCGGGGGGGGUGGGGAUGGGGUCCACCAUGCAGCACCAGGUGUGGGUGACUAUCCGCUCAGCAUCCCCUGUGUCUGUCCCCAUUCCCCCACAGCUGCCAGCCUCCGGGAGCGUCAGCUGGCCCAGGAGAUGGCUGCCCAGGCGCUGGCCGAGAAGGAUGUGACCAUCACCCAGCUGCAGAGCAGGCUUGAUACCAUGGAGAUGGAGUAUGAGAAGAUCCUCCAUGGCAGCCUGGACCUUGUCUUGGCCAAGCUGGCAGGGGCCAGCCAGUACUGGGAGGAGAUGGGUACAUCCAUCUCCCUGGAGAACAAGGAGCGCCUGCAGGAGUUUGGCCUCAACCCCCUGGAGAUAUAGCACCCUGGAGACCCCCAGGAGAGGACGGGCUGGCCAGGACCUUGCCUCCCCAUGCCUUCAGAUUCCCCAUUCCCAUUGCCCACCACCCUAGCUCCCUUGGGCCAGGCAAGAGGACAGAGAUGAUCGCUCUCAUCUGGCCUUGGGACAUGCUACAUGCUGCUGAGACGCAGACCUCUCUGUAACACUACUCACAUGAGCAGCAGUGAGGAUUUGUCUUUUAAUCACAUCCCAUGGGUGACAUAGGAACAGUGCUGUGAUGGGGGCAGGUACCCACCACCCCUGGGUUUGCAGGAAGGAUGGGGUGAGGAGCUCAAGGGAGAGGAGAGGUUCAUGGAGUGGCAGACCUGAGCCAACAGGCUGAGCCCUGGGGGCCCAUGACAAGCCUUGGGGCUUCCUCUAGGGAGCCAUGGCCUCUGACACUCACUUUCCCUUUUGCACACUGGCCCUGGGGCCAGCUCCUGGGCUGAGCCAAGCCCCCGGCUGCCCAGCCGCCUGGGUCAUGGCUUGGAGAGCACUGCCUCAGCUCUCCUGAGAGCCUGCUGGAGCCUGGAGCUGGAUGGGAGGUGAGGGCUUCAACGCAGUGUCCCCAAAUACCCCUGGAGGCAGCUGGACAGGCAAAGGCACAGGUCAGUCUUCAGAAUAUAAGAAGCCACCGUGGUGGUUAAUAAAAGCUUGGGUCCAGCUGUGGACA
rnacentral:lncRNA from 1 species